UCCUGGGUGGGGGUGACUUUUGUGUCACAGAGAGGAAGGAAGUCACUGUGCUGGCUGAAAGAGGGACAGGGUUUUCCCUCUGACAGCUCCUCUCCUAUGGACACGCUCAGGUCUUCUAAGCCCUAACCAUGUCCUUUGAAAGCCGCUGAAGAAACACUCAAGAUUCCUAUCUCUCUGAGUUGCGCACGCAGUACCUCAACCUUGAACGGGCACAUCAGAUAAACUCAGUGGCUUGAAGUCUGUGCUUCUCAGAAGUCAAGUGCCUGCCUGAUGGACGCACAGCCCAGGUCUCAGUCCUCAGUGCUACCCAACUCCCAGCACUUGGAGGCAGAGGCGACAGGAGGGUCAGAUCACAGUUAUUCUGCACUACAUGGAAGUCUGAGGCCAGCCUCCCUCGGAGCAAACUGUCCUCUUCAGAAUGGGUGUCCUCUGUCCCCCUGCCUUAAGGACGCUCUAGCUCUUCGCCGGUUUGCUUCACCACAGCCUGUUACAUAACGCCCAGCCUUGAGUUUGCUCAUUGGACACCUUUACUGCUGCAGGAUGCACAUAUAAAACAUUUCCCCCAUUUUC